GGUUAUGCUGUCCUUGUAAUUGUGAGGUCCUCGCGAUCACAUGGCCCAGGAGGGCCGGAACAGCAGCAGGGGGACUCCCUGGCAUGGCAGGUAAGUCAUCCCCCCACGCCAGGGAUGUGCUAUGCAGCCCACUGGCGUUUAGAGCCGGGUCGCCAAGGAUGGCAUAGCACGCUCACGGUCCUUAAGGGGGGUUAAAGAUCACAGAACCCAAAAC